GUGCCAGCCGCCGCGGUAAUACCGGCAGCCCGAGUGAUGGCCGAUAUUAUUGGGCCUAAAGCGUCCGUAGCUGGCCGAACAAGUCCGUCGGGAAAUCCACGUGCUUAACACGUGGACGACCGGCGGAAACUGUUCGGCUUGGGGCCGGAGGACCCGAGGGGUACGUCCGGGGUAGGAGUGAAAUCCCGUAAUCCCGCACGGACCACCGAUGGCGAAAGCACCUCGAGAAGACGGCUCCGACGGUGAGGGACGAAAGCCAGGGUCUCGAACCGGAUUAGAAACCCUUGUAGUCC
rnacentral:rRNA from 1 species